CCGGCUUUUACUCUAACCCUCGACAUUCGACUCCGCCUUUCAUCGGCCUGAUUUUGAGGCCACCGCCUCCUCCAAGGAACUAUUCAGGUAUUUUUUUGCUGUGGUUUGUUGCCAGAGUAUUGAGAUCAAUGAAAGGAAUGAGGUGACUUGAGGAGCUCUUUAGAGAUGGAGAUGACAAAUAAGAUUGAAAGAUUUUGCCAUGUUGAAAUUUUAAUGCAUCAGCUUGGUUAGCUAUAUAUUGAGCAUAUGUCUUAACUCAUUUGUAAGUUUCAUUUUGUGGAUUAUUUAUUAUUUAUUUGGAUGAACUAUAUGGUAAUUGAAAUGUAAAAUAAUAUAGAAAGUAUGAUAUUUAUUCAUUUUUCUAAAUAAAUUCUCAGUAAUUAGUUUAA